UACAGAGGAUGCAAGCGUUAUCCGGAAUCACUGGGCGUAAAGCGCACGUAGGCGGAUUGUUAAGUCAGGGGUGAAAUCCUGGAGCUCAACUCCAGAACUGCCUUUGAUACUGGCGAUCUCGAGUCCGGGAGAGGUGAGUGGAACUGCGAGUGUAGAGGUGAAAUUCGUAGAUAUUCGCAAGAACACCAGUGGCGAAGGCGGACUCACUGGCCCGGUACUGACGCUGAGGUGCGAAAGCGUGGGGAGCAAACAGGG
rnacentral:rRNA from 1 species